GACGAACGCUGGCGGCGUGCUUAACACAUGCAAGUCGAGCGGCAGCGCGGGAGCAAUCCUGGCGGCGAGCGGCGAACGGGUGAGUAAUGCUUCGGAAUCUGCCCUUCAGUGGGGAAUAACCAGUCGAAAGACUGGCUAAUACCGCAUACGAACUGAGGUUGAAAGCAGGGGAUCGCAAGACCUUGCGCUGAUGGAUGAGCCGAAGUCGGAUUAGCUAGUUGGUAGGGUAACGGCCUACCAAGGCGACGAUCCGUAGCUGGUCUGAGAGGACGACCAGCCACACUGGGACUGAGACACGGCCCAGACUCCUACGGGAGGCAGCAGUGGGGAAUAUUGGACAAUGGGGGCAACCCUGAUCCAGCGACGCCGCGUGUGUGAAGAAGGCCUUCGGGUUGUAAACCGCUUUUGUCAGGGAAGAAAGUUCCGGGUUAAUACCCUGGGAUGCUGACGGUACCUGAAGAAUAAGCACCGGCGUAACUACGUGCCAGCAGCCGCGGU
rnacentral:rRNA from 1 species